GAUGAACGCUGGCGGAGUGCCUAAUACAUGCAAGUCGAGCGGCAGCACGAGUAGUUUACUACUUGGUGGCGAGCGGCGGACGGCUGAGUAACGCGUGGGAACGUGCCCCAAAGUGAGGAAUAACUGCCCGAAAGGGUAGCUAAUGCCGCAUAUGAUCUUCGGAUUAAAGGAUUUAUCCGCUUUGGGAGCGGCCCGCGUUA
rnacentral:rRNA from 1 species